rnacentral:rRNA from 1 species
CCUACGGGAGGCUGCAGUGGGGGAUAUUGCACAAUGGGGGAAACCCUGAUGCAGCGACGCCGCGUGUGGGAAGACGGUCCUCUGGAUUGUAAACCACUGUCCCCAGGGACGAAGAUGACGGUACCUGGGGAGGAAGCUCCGGCUAACUACGUGCCAGCAGCCGCGGUAAUACGUAGGGAGCGAGCGUUGUCCGGAAUUACUGGGUGAAAAGGGAGCGUAGGCGGGACUGCAAGUUGGGGGUCAAAUCUACCGGCUCAACCGGUAGCCGCACUCAAAACUGCAGGUCUUGAGGGAAGUAGAGGGAGGCGGAAUUCCUAGGGUAGCGGGGAAAUGCGUAGAUAUUAGGAGGAAAACCAGUGGCGAAGGCGGCCUGCUGGGCUUUUACUGACGCUGAGGCUCGAAAGUGUGGGGAGCAAACAGGAUUAGAUACCCUUGUAGUC